rnacentral:misc_RNA from 1 species
AACCUAGCACACCUGCGGUGUGUACCUGCGGAAGGAUCAUUAUUGGAAGCUUUUAUAUUAUCAAAAGUUGUGGAGGAAGAAAAGAAAGAGAUUUCUCUCCUCUGCAUCUUUCAAACAAACAAUCACAACUAUCUGAUUGAUUUGGUUUUGGGAGGGGAUUGAUUUGAAGGGGAAAAGUGCUUGCCUGAUAAAAAAAGAGAGACAUAUCAAAGAAUACAACUUUUAGCAAUGGAUCUCAGA